rnacentral:misc_RNA from 1 species
GAUGAAGAACGCAGCGAAAUGCGAUACGUAAUGUGAAUUGCAGAAUUCAGUGAAUCAUCGAAUCUUUGAACGCAUAUUGCGCUCUUUGGUAUUCCGAAGAGCAUGCUUGUUUGAGUAUCAGUAAACACCUCAACCUCUUCUUGAUUUUUCAAAAGGAGGGUGGACUUGAGCUAUCCCAACAACCUUUACCGGUCGGCGGGCGGCUUGAAAUGCAGGUGCAGCUGGACUUUUAUCUGAGCUAAAAGCAUAUCUAUUUAGUCCUCGUCAAACAGGAUUAUUACUUUUGCUGCAGCUAACAUAAAGGAUAAUUGUCCUCUUUGCUGACUGAUGCAGGAUUUUACGACACUUUAUGUGUUGUUCAACUCGAUCUCAAAUCAAGUAAGACUACCCGCUGAACUUAAGCAUAUCAAUAGCGGAGGA